rnacentral:rRNA from 1 species
GACGAACGCUGGCGGCGUGCUUAACACAUGCAAGUCGAACGGAAAGGCCCUGCUUUUGUGGGGUGCUCGAGUGGCGAACGGGUGAGUAACACGUGAGUAACCUGCCCUUGACUUUGGGAUAACUUCAGGAAACUGGGGCUAAUACCGGAUAGGAGCUCCUGCUGCAUGGUGGGGGUUGGAAAGUUUCGGCGGUUGGGGAUGGACUCGCGGCUUAUCAGCUUGUUGGUGGGGUAGUGGCUUACCAAGGCUUUGACGGGUAGCCGGCCUGAGAGGGUGACCGGCCACAUUGGGACUGAGAUACGGCCCAGACUCCUACGGGAGGCAGCAGUGGGGAAUAUUGUACAAUGGGCGGAAGCCUGAUGCAGCAACGCCGCGUGCGGGAUGACGGCCUUCGGAUUGUAAACCGCUUUCGCCUGUGACGAAGCGUGAGUGACGGUAAUGGGUAAAGAAGCACCGGCUAACUACGUGCCAGCAGCCGCGGUGAUACGUAGGGUGCGAGCGUUGUCCGGAUUUAUUGGGCGUAAAGGGCUCGUAGGUGGUUGAUCGCGUCGGAAGUGUAAUCUUGGGGCUUAACCCUGAGCGUGCUUUCGAUACGGGUUGACUUGAGGAAGGUAGGGGAGAAUGGAAUUCCUGGUGGAGCGGUGGAAUGCGCAGAUAUCAGGAGGAACACCAGUGGCGAAGGCGGUUCUCUGGGCCUUUCCUGAUGCUGAGGAGCGAAAGCGUGGGGAGCGAACAGGCUUAGAUACCCUGGUAGUCCACGCUGUAAACGGUGGGUACUAGGUGUGGGGUCCAUUCCACGGGUUCCGUGCCGUAGCUAACGCUUUAAGUACCCCGCCUGGGGAGUACGGCCGCAAGGCUAAAACUCAAAGGAAUUGACGGGGCCCCGCACAAGCGGCGGAGCAUGCGGAUUAAUUCGAUGCAACGCGUAGAACCUUACCUGGGUUUGACAUGGAUCGGGAGUGCUCAGAGAUGGGUGUGCCUCUUUUGGGGUCGGUUCACAGGUGGUGCAUGGCUGUCGUCAGCUCGUGUCGUGAGAUGUUGGGUUAAGUCCCGCAACGAGCGCAACCCUUGUUCACUGUUGCCAGCACGUUAUGGUGGGGACUCAGUGGAGACCGCCGGGGUCAACUCGGAGGAAGGUGGGGAUGACGUCAAGUCAUCAUGCCCCUUAUGUCCAGGGCUUCACGCAUGCUACAAUGGCUGGUACAGAGAGUGGCGAGCCUGUGAGGGUGAGCGAAUCUCGGAAAGCCGGUCUCAGUUCGGAUUGGGGUCUGCAACUCGACCUCAUGAAGUCGGAGUCGCUAGUAAUCGCAGAUCAGCAACGCUGCGGUGAAUACGUUCCCGGG